GAAAGGCUCCAAGAUCCUGUUGCAGAUGCCCAUCCGGCAGUCAGAGGGUGGAGUUAGUCCAGAAGCCUUUGGGUAACAGUGGGGUAUGUUUAGAAACAUCAAAAGCCAUACAAAACCAAGCCUGUAUAUUUGUGCAUUCUGUCUUCUUCCCCCUCAAUGCUAAGGAAGGUUUCUUUUUCCUAGGCCAAAUGCUCCACAAAUAAAUGUGUUGAAUGAAUGAACAAAUGAAUAAGCGAAGUGAAUGGAACAUCAAACUGCAUAAAAAUAUAUUUAUUCAUAAAUGAGAGGUGAUGAUUGCCAACAUAUCAUAAUCAGACUCUGACCUUGGUUACUUAUGAGUUUGACAACGAAGAGGAAAGAGGAUCAGGUAAGUCCCUAAACACCGAAGAUGUACUGAGACCUUUCCACAUGCCCAAAGAAGAUACUCUUGCAGAGGAGAAAUGAUGAAGAGGCCCAGUCACAGAUGCAGGAGGAAGUUUAAUUGACUGAAUUUGUCUAGGAUGGGAGGGAUUAAAUGAGGUUUGAAAUGAAAUAGAAAUUGCUAAACUCCUGACUAGACAAUUACUGCCAUCCAUCUCUUACAUGUGCCCCUAAAUAAGCACUAACAGUGCCUUGGGCAGAGACCCCAGUGACUACCUAAUAGUAGCCUUCAAGAGCAUCACUUCCCACUCUCCUGCCCUGCCUCACUUUCCUCCUAGGUCUUAUGGGAUGGAUGAUAGAUGUCAUUCCCUGGUUCCCUAACGCUCAAGUCUAGCCCCUCAUUUCCUGGCAAGCAUCAAGCUUGAUUGUGUCUGUAACCUCUCAGAAGUCAGACCUCAGAAGUGUGCUUUUCUGGGAAAUCGGGGUCAGGGAGGAAAGAAGGAGGGAAUAAAGACAUUGUAAUAGAUUUAUAUAUAUCAUUGUAACUCAUCCACACAACAAUCCUGUAAGGUGUGGCCACUGUACUCAGAAAACUGAGGCUCAAAGAGAUUGAGUAACUUACCAAAACUUCACAUGUACUAAAAGUGGAGCCUAGAUUUCAAACACCUGUAAGACUCUGAAAUCUAUAUUAGCUCUUCUAUACAUGAGCCUAAAAUGCAACUGUAAACCAAUAAGACUGACUUCCUCUUGAGGCUUAUCACUAGCUCUGAAUAGAAGCAUUCCCAAAUGCUGUCUAAGCAAUUGUUGCGUCAUGGGAAUAAGUUGAUAAAUUCUCAGGGUUACAUACUCCUUUAGAUGCACUGGAACUUUUCUCAGUAUGUAGAAUCAAGUGUAAGGAAAAAGGAUUUGAAGGGGAAGGGGAGAAAUAAAACAGGACUGAGCCUUACACGUGUUGACCAGAACAGAUAAUGUUUGGAUUUUCUUUACUUUUUUCCCAGAGAAAUCGAAUAAAGAAGUUUGUUUCUGUUACCUAAAAUCAACUCCCUCCCACCUUAAGUGGUUUUGUAUAGAGCCCAUAGUUGAACUCUGUUUUCUACAGCAGAGAUUCAUUUUAAUGUUUUUAUAUUAUAUCAAGGCAAGUUUGAUUUCUUUCUGGGUAACUAUAGGCAGAAUGUCAGCAAUACUCCACGUAUUAGCUAUUAGAGAUAAAACACUGUGAAACUCUAAAGGCCUUGAUUAUUGGGCCAAUGAGAUAUUUAUGCUGUGAUCUGAUGGAGCAAAGCUUUGACAGGGUUAUUGAGCCACCUUCAAAGUGUAUCAGUGAAGUUCUUGGCUUGCUAUUUUAGAUAAACAGCUUUCAUUUUUACUAGUUGCUUGUACUUAAUAAGGUUACUGGAUUGAUUCAAGUUGUUUGCAAUGCGUUGAAGGUGAAGAGUAUUGUAUCUAGUGUCCUCAUAACACACUAUUACUUUUCUGAGGAAGGGUCUUGUCAUUUUACCCUAGAUAUCAACAGAAAAUAUUCCAUUUCUUAUAUAUUAAUUUUGCUCUGCAAUAAGGAAAUAUAACUACCAAAAAUGCCAUCGAAGGUUUUAGGUUGAUGCUUAUUUGUGUUUCCUAAUCUGUAGAUAGCAGGGUCUUUUUUUAAAUUUUUAUUUUUUGUUUUGGUACAGGGUCGGCUUUGUUGCCCACUUGGAGUGUAGUGGCACAACCUUGGCUCACUGCAACCUUCUCCUGAAGUACAUAUUAGCUCACCUGGGCUCAAGUGAUCCUCCCACCUCAGUCUUUUGAGUAUCUGGGAUUAUUGGCAUGUGCCACCAAGCCUUGCUAAUUUUUGUAUUUUUUGUAGACACAGGAUUUUGCCACGUUGGCCAGAUUUGUCUUGAACUCCUAAGCUCCAGUGAUCCACCCACCUUGGCCUCCCAAAGUGCUAGGAUUACACGUGUCACCAUCGUGGCCAACCAGCAAGCUCUCUUUUAAUGAUUCAGAGUCUCAGGCCAUAGCAGUAUAAGUAUCAAAACAUCUAUUCCCAACUUGGAGUUGAGAUUUCUAAUACGAAUUCUAUUUUCUCCAUAAUCAUAAAAUAGCAUCAGGAAAAGUCUCUUGACAUCUUAAAAUACAUAUCACUGGAAAGUAGAUCUUUUUGUCCUUCAGAUAAACAUACUGUAAAAUUUGAAAUGAAAAUUAUUCUUUGUACCACCAUUCUGAUUUUACCCAGGGUUAACACAAAAGUUAUAGCAGUACAUGAAGCUCUGAGGCUUCAAUGGGUGUAGAUAUAGACAUCCAAACCUAUAAUUUUACAUUAAUCAGAAUACUAUUCAUAUAAAUCACAAAUGGCAAAACCAUUUCUGAAGGUAUUUGGUUUUAUAGAUUAUAAAAUUAAACUUCCUUAUAAUUGUGUCCAAACUGAAAUAUGCUUCCUGUACAAAAAAGCUUUCUUCUAACAGUAAAGGCCUCCUCCCAACCCACCCGACACAUACACACACACACACACACACACACACACACACACACACACACGAAGAGAGAGAGAGAAUUUAGAGCACUGAUCUUUUCUCUCUUAGACUAAUUAUUUUAACAUUAUUUUCAGCCACUUUAUUAAUUGUGGGGUUAAGGGUAGGAUAGAUCUAAUGCCCAUUUCACAUGUGUUGCAACAUCAGAGAUUAUGGUUUUCAUUAAAAACAUCAGAGCUAAAUUCCUUUUCAAAAAAGACAUUGUUACUGUUAGUACCUUGGGGAAUGUUGUAGUCUUAUGAAUGCUGAUACGUUUAUUUGAGCCAAUUGAAUAUUAUCUCUAAUAUAAACUAUAAUUUACUGUGUGAUUCCUCUUCCUGUUUUACCUAUAUAUACUCAAAGUGAAUGAUUGUGUUUAGUGAACAUUUCUUUAGGUAAUAAAAAUUAAUUUCAUUUAAGAAAGAAGUACAAAAUAGUUAUUAGAGCAAACUUUGGUAUUUGUAAUUUUGAAGUUACAUACUUUUGAAAUAAACUUGGGCUUUCAUGCCAUGUUGGGUUUGAGGAAGAUAGCAAAUGUAUAAAUUGAGCUCUCUAGUCAUAACCUUGCUAUAUGUAUUCCUGCUCAUUAAAAUACUUUGCGCCAGCAAAAAUGAUUUCCAACAUAUGUGUUUUGGAUGUAAUUAAGUAACUGUAUAAAACUAAGUAUGUUUUUUCUCCUUUCCCCAGUGACUGGAAAACUUUCAUACUUUUAAGGUAAUAAUAAAAUAAUAAUCUUUAAAGAGCAACAGCCCUUAACUCUUUGCUGGUGCUUGCCAUACUGCCCUUCUUUACUCCAUUCUUAGCUCUUCUAGCUGCUUCUUGUAAUAAUGAAAUGGGAAUGUGGAUGGGUUAUGACUUUUGUGUAUGUCCCAUUUCCAAAUUUCCCUCUCCAAAAAGCCAACCAAAUAAACAAAAAUAACAGUGCAACAAAACACAAACAGCAUUCCAAACGUUUGGCAAGUGAUGCUUUCAUCUGGGAUUAAGUAGUUUUAGGCAGUCAGUAACAAAAUGCUGUUCUGCUGUCAUAGUAGAAAGGCAGCACAUUCUUAAAAGGAACCAAGAAGACUACACUCUUGGCAAAGUCUCUUAUUAGCUUUCUCCUAUCUCUUCUCCCCAACCACACUGUAAACUGCAAAACAUACAGCAAAAAGAAUUGGCUUAAAGGCAAUUGAUGUUUGUAAAUAAAUCCACAAUAGGAUCCAAGCUAAAGAGGUGAUACAUGGUCAGCCUAGUAGGACAAUUCAGAGCAUGUGCAUAUGCAAGUAAAGGCCAGACUAUAUAUUUUUUAAACGUCAGUGCAUUUUGUUGUGUUAAAAUUUUUUCAAAGCUUUAUUUUGUUCCUUGUGUGCUAACUACAAAUAAGUUUUAAAAGAGUAUCAAAAGUCUGCCAAAAACAAAAAAGCUGUAGUGACA
rnacentral:lncRNA from 10 species